GAUGAAUGCUGGCGGCGUGCCUAACACAUGCAAGUCGAGCGGCAGCGCGGGGUGCUUGCACCCUGUCGGCGAGCGGCGAACGGCUGAGUAACGCGUAGGAAUUUACCCCAAAGUGAGGAAUAACUGCCCGAAAGGGUAGUUAAUGCCGAACAUGGUCUACGUACUAAAGGAGUUAUACGCUCUUGGAGAAGUGUGCGUUGGAUUAGGUCGUUGGUAGGGUAAUGGCCUACCAAGCCGACGAUCCAUAGCUGGUCUGAGAGGAUGGUCAGCCAGACUGGAACUGAGACACAGUCCAGACUACUACGGGAGGCAGCAGAGAGGGAUCUACCACAAUGGGGGGAGGGCUGAUGGAGCUACGGCGGGAAAAGGAUGAAGGCCGUCGAGUUGUAAACUUCUUUUAUGCGUGAAGAAUAUGACGGUAACUCAUGAAUAAGCACCGGCUAACUACGUG
rnacentral:rRNA from 1 species